rnacentral:rRNA from 1 species
AUGGAAGCUGCAAGGAGCGAAGGGGAUGAGCUGAUUGCGGAUUAUGUCGAUUGCCUCAUGUCCUUGGACAGCAAUGCUCGGUCUGUCCAGAACGACAAUCUGAUUCUCGAAGGUCCAGUCAUAGAAGCAGGAGUAGCUGCUUCGGUUGGUGGUAUUACGGAGAAGGAUGCCAUGAAAGAUUUUGUACCUCCAGAGGAUCCUAAAGAGCCAUUGCUAGGUAUGACAUUUGAAUCUGAUGAAGCAGCAAAGACUUUCUACAAUGAGUAUGCCAGGCACCCUGGAUUUCCCUUCCGCGUUGGUAGGUCUCGCCGUUCGAAAGGUGCAGAGGAGGUUGUCAUCAUGAGGAGGUUUGUUUGCUCAAGGGAAGGCAUGUACAGAAAGAAGAAUCCAUCAUCAGAUGAGGCUACAGAGAAGCGUGAGAGGAUGUCUAUGCGGGAAGCUUGCAAUGCUAUGAUGGAGGUGGUCAGAGAAUCAAACCAUUGGGUUGUUUCCAAGCUUGAAAAAACUCAUAAUCAUAAACUUGGCACCUGUAGUAGAGUUGGGUAUCUUCGUGACAGAGGUUUGCUUGAUGCCUCCAAUAAGAUCACUAUGAUGGGCUCAGACGGAGUGCCCUUUCCGAGGCAGAAUAUUCUUGGGGAAGGCGGAGACGCUCAAGGUCUUCUUGAUUAUUUGAAGAAGAUGCAAGCCAAUGACCCUGCUUUCUUCCAUGCCAUACAGGUCGACAAGAAUAUCUGUCUAAUGAAUGUUUUUUGGGCCGAUGCUAGAGCUAAACUUGCUUAUCAGCAUCUUGGGGACGCUGUUACAUUUGACACAACAUACAAGAAGAACAAGUGUAUGAUGCCCUUUGUUACCUUUUCAGGAGUCAAUCAUCAUCUCCAGCGUGUUAUAUUUGGAUGUGCAUUGCUUAUGGAAGAUACUGAAUGCUCAUUUGUUUGGCUAUUUGAAACAUGGCUGGCAGCAAUGAGCGGGAAGGCACCAUGUUCACUAAUUACCGACCAAAAUCGGGCCAUGAAAGUUGCAAUUGGAAGGGUUUUUCCGCAUACCUGUCACCGCUUCUGCAAGUGGCACAUUUUGAGUAGAACCAAACACAAGUUAGCUCAUACAUACUCUGAGCAUCCUACUUCAAUAGAUGAGUCAGAAAGCUGUGUUGUUGAGUCUGAAACAAUCAACACAUUUGAAACAGCGUGGAUGUCAACCAUUGAUACUUAUGAUUUAAGAAAUAAUACAUGGCUUCAAGCAAUGUACAAUAUCUGCCAAAAAUGCAUUCCUUUGUACCUGAUGGAUACAUUCUGUGCAGAAAUAUCUAAAGCGCAGAAGUUAGAAACCAUGAAUGAUUUCUACAAGAAGUAUUUCAGUACGAAUGUGACACUGGAAGUUUUUCUAACCCAAUUUGAUUUGAGCAUCGAAAACCAUUAUGAGGAAGAAGCAAAAGCAGAUAUGGACACUUCUUUAAAUUUGGUGACGACAAAGACUGCAUCACCAAUGGAAAAGCAGGCAGCACGUACCUACACCAAAGCAGUCUUUAGUAGAUUUCAGGAAGAAUUUACAGAGUCUUUGGCAUAUGUUAUUCAGAAAACUAAAGAUGGCUGCAUAAGUGAAUACAACAUCAUGAAAGAUGAAAAUUCAUCCGAUACAUUCCGUGUGGCCUACAAUGCUUCCAAUAAGAUGGCAAAAUGUAGUUGCAAAUACUUUGAGUUCUUAAGUAUGUCAUAUUCUAGGAGUAUUCAGAAUAGUUGA